rnacentral:lncRNA from 1 species
CCUGCGUCUGCGGCUCUCAGGCAACAGAGGAAGUAGGGACAGGAUCUGCAGCGCUGGCCAGGGUCCCGGUGCUGCAGUGUACAGUGCGGCCAUGCAAGCUGACUUUCCAGCGACCACCAACACGUUGCCUGCACAGGAAGAUGGCAGGCCAUCCCUCACCAACAACACUCCUGCACUGCAUGGCGUCGAUGGGCAAGCAUAGUAUAUGUUACUCCUAGGCUGCAGUCUUUCCAGCCUUCUGCGUCGCUGGCCUGUUGCAUUGUGUCUCAGGAUGAGGGAAACACACUAGCAGUGCCAGCACUGUGUUACGGACAAGAGCCACACCAGAGCGGAGUGCGCUGGGCAGUUGCUGCCUCCAUGCCUUUACCCUCAUCCAGAAAGUCCCACACGUCGGGAUGUUGAUCCCUCCACCCCACAAUAUCCCUCGUGUUGCAAUGUGCUGGCGUGUCAGUCCUUCUCUGGCCUUACGCACGAUUGAAUUCUUGGCAACAUAACCACUUGUAAGAUUGAAGUAUAAAGCAGAAAACGGUGAUACACAUCCUGUUAUGUCUUCAGGGUUGAAGACACUAGUAAUUUCACAAUCCUCCUGCACCUAGUCAACACGUGCAGCAAGCUUCAAGCCCAAAAGACGCGCUCUAAGUUUUCUCCGCCGAG